UACAGAGGUCCCAAGCGUUGUUCGGAUUCACUGGGCGUAAAGGGUGCGUAGGUGGCGAGGUAAGUCGGAUGUGAAAGCUCGGAGCUCAACUCCGAAAUGGCAUUGGAAACUACCUUGCUCGAGGGUUGGAGGGGGGACUGGAAUGCUUGGUGUAGCAGUGAAAUGCGUAGAUAUCAAGCGGAACACCAGUGGCGAAGGCGAGUCCCUGGACAACUCCUGACACUGAGGCACGAAAGCUAGGGGAGCAAACAGGAUUAGAUACC
rnacentral:rRNA from 1 species